rnacentral:rRNA from 1 species
UACAGAGGGGGCAAGCGUUGUUCGGAAUUACUGGGCGUAAAGGGCGCGUAGGCGGCCACCUCAGUCGGACGUGAAAUCCCCGGGCUCAACCCGGGAACUGCGUCCGAUACUGGGUGGCUAGAGUCCGGGAGAGGGAAGUGGAAUUCCAGGUGUAGCGGUGAAAUGCGUAGAUAUCUGGAGGAACACCGGUGGCGAAGGCGACAUCCUGGACCGGCAUUGACGCUGAGGCGCGAAAGCCAGGGGAGCAAACGGG